rnacentral:sRNA from 1 species
GAGUGAGGGGGUGACUAGUGGCAGAGUGAGGGAUGGAAGGGGAGACUAGUGACAGAGUGAGGGAGGUGGUGACUGUCACUAGUCACCACCUCCCUCACCCUGUCACUAGUCACCACCUCCCUCUGUCACUACUACCUCCCUCCUUCUGUUACUAGUCACCCCCUCCGUCCCUUACUCUGUCACUAGUCACCCCCUCCCUC